CAUGCAGUCGAGCGAUGAAACUUUAACAGAACCCUUCGGGGCGAAGAUAAAGUGGAUUAGCGGCGGACGGGUGAGUAACACGUGAGUAACCUGCCUUAGACAUUGGGAUAGCCUCGGGAAACCGGGAUUAAUACCAAAUAAAAUCAUAAUGACACAUGUCAUAACGAUCAAAACUCCGGUGGUCUAAGAUGGACUCGCGCCCCAUUAGCUAGUUGGUAGAGUAAAAGCCUACCAAGGCGACGAUGGGUAGCCGACCUGAGAGGGUGAACGGCCACAUUGGAACUGAGAAACGGUCCAAACUCCUACGGGAGGCAGCAGUGGGGAAUAUUGCACAAUGGAGGGAACUCUGAUGCAGCGACGCCGCGUGAACGAAGAAGGCUUUCGAGUCGUAAAGUUCUUUUAUAUGGGAAGAUAAUGACGGUACCAUAAGAAAAAGCCCCGGCUAACUACGUGCCAGCAGCCGCGGUAAUACGUAGGGGGCUAGCGUUGUCCGGAAUCACUGGGCGUAAAGGGUUCGCAGGCGGAAAUGCAAGUCAGAUGUAAAAGGCAGUAGCUUAACUACUGUAAGCAUUUGAAACUGCAUAUCUUGAGAAGAGUAGAGGUAAGUGGAAUUUUUAGUGUAGCGGUGAAAUGCGUAGAUAUUAAAAAGAAUACCGGUGGCGAAGGCGACUUACUGGGCUCAUUCUGACGCUGAGGAACGAAAGCGUGGGUAGCAAACAGGAUUAGAUACCCUGGUAGUCCACGCUGUAAACGAUGAGUGCUAGGUGUCGGCGAAUGUCGGUGCCGCAGUUAACACAAUAAGCACUCCGCCUGGGGAGUACGUGCGCAAGCAUGAAACUCAAAGGAAUUGACGGGGACCCGCACAAGCAGCGGAGCAUGUGGGUUUAAUUCGAAGCACGCGNGAACNUACCAGGCUUGACAUACUGA
rnacentral:rRNA from 1 species